rnacentral:rRNA from 1 species
CGGGGUGAGUAAUGUCUGGGGAUCUGCCUGAUGGCGGGGGAUAACUACUGGAAACGGUAGCUAAUACCGCAUAAUGUCUGCGGACCAAAGCGGGGGACCUCCGGGCCUCGCGCCAUCAGAUGAACCCAUAUGGGAUUAGCUAGUAGGUAAGGUAACGGCUUACCUAGGCGACGAUCCCUAGCUGGUCUGAGAGGAUGAUCAGCCACACUGGGACUGAGACACGGCCCAG